rnacentral:tRNA from 1 species
GGUUGUAUAGUCUAGUGGUUAUGACACCGGAUUUUGAAUCCCGGGGUUCCGGUGACCAGGGUUCGAAUCCCUGUACGACCU